CGCUCCGGUUCAACUCCGUUGUUUUGAAGACUGGAGACCGGGCGACUGGCGUAGUGACAGUGACGCUAAAUCUUGGCGAUUUAAAGUUUUGAAUGGCAUUGCAACUUUAUGGUGUAUAGGGCGCUGGCGGUAAGGCGUAAUAUGCU